CAGAUGAAUAUCUCCUUCUCAGCCACUGGCUGCCAGAAAUUCACUGAAGUGGCUGAUCAACGCAAAUUCAUACUUUUUAUGACAAGCACAUGGCCACAGAAGUAGCUGCUGAUGCUCUGGGUGAAGAAUGGAAGGAUUAUGUAGUCCACAUCAGUGGUAGGAAUGACAAACAAGGUUUUCCCAUGAAGCAGGAUGUCUUGGCCCAUGACCAUGUCCACCUGCUACUGAGUACAGGGCAUUCCUGUUAUACAGCCAGAAGAACUGGAGAAAGAAAGUGUAAAGCUGUUCAGGAUUGCAUUGUGGAUGUCAAUCUAAAUGUUCUCAAUUGACUUAUUGUAAAAAAGGGAGAGAAGGAUGUUCCUGGACUGACUGACACCAUGACGCCUCAUCACUUGGGGCCCAAAAGAGCUAGCAGAAUCCACAAACUUUUCAAUCUCUCUAAAAAAAGAUGAUGUCCAACAAUAUGUGGUAAGAAAGGCCUUUAACAAAGAAGGUAAGCCUAGGACCAACACACCCAAGAUUCAGCAUCUUGUUACUCCAAAUGUCUUACAACAUAAAUGCUGCUAUGUUGCUCUGCAGAAACAGUAUACUAUAGAACAUGCUAAACUUUUGGCCAAAAGAAUGAAGGAGGCCAAAAAAAUAUGCCAGGAGCAGAUUUUCAAGAAAAGCAGCCUGUCCUCUCCAAGAGCGUCUACUUCUGAGUCC
rnacentral:lncRNA from 1 species